rnacentral:rRNA from 1 species
GACGAACGCUGGCGGCGUGCUUAACACAUGCAAGUCGAACGAAGAGCGAUGGGAGCUUGCUCCUAUCAAUCUUAGUGGCGAACGGGUGAGUAACGCGUAAUCAACCUGCCCUUCAAUGGGGGACAACAGUUGGAAACGACUGCUAAUACCGCAUACGAUCGUAAUUCGGCAUCGAGAUACGAUGAAAGGUGGCCUCUAUUUAUAAGCUAUCGUUGAAGGAGGGGAUUGCGUCUGAUUAGUUAGUUGGAGGGGUAACGGCCCACCAAGGCAAUGAUCAGUAGCCGGUCUGAGAGGAUGAACGGCCACAUUGGGACUGAGACACGGCCCAA